AAUAUGAUCGUGCUUUUUUUUAUUACUCAUCUUUCAAUAAUUUCUGUGACAUGUAUACAUUUCUGUUGGGAUAUAUAAUCGAACACUCUAAAUAUAUCACUUUUAGCAUAGAGCAUAUUCUGAUUCUAAAACAACUUCAGUAUUAAACACGUGAGCAAUUUUAUGAUCAGCUAUAGUAUACAUCACUCGCAUGACAUUUUUGAAUUCAGGUUUCAUUGUAUUUAAAAGAAUAGAUUGUGUCUAACAUUCCUACUAUAGGGGCAUAAGGGCAGUGGAGAACAGGAUCAAGAACGCAGUGGAGAUGGACAGAUUUUCAGCAGUGGUUCAUGACACCAGUAAGCAUUUCUAAAAAAUCUGGAUCCUGUGAAUUCUGGAGUACACACCACCUGGUUAGAUGACCUCUGGGCUGGUUUGGGGACUUGGACCCACCCCUUCCCCUACCUAUACUCUCCCACCCUUUUUUUCACUGCUCUAUUCUCCUUUCCUCUGCUCUGUCUCAAUCUCAACAGUCUUCCUUUUUGAUUAUCUCACGACCUUUCCCUAGUGCUGUUGUCCACAAGAAUACUUGUGUUACAGCCUUCUUGUUAUAUUACACCCAAUUAUCCCCCUCGGCUUGCGUCUAAACGGAUUCUGUACAUACCUGCUAGACAGAUUCCUGUCUUGAUAGUGAUAGCAUAAGCCCACUAUGAUAGUGACCUGCAAUGUAAGUGUGGUCACGGAUGCAUUCCAAUGGCUCUUCCGUGACACGGAAUCCAUGAACGACAGCAUGUACCAUCUACAGACUCAUUAGGGUAUAUGCUCACUGUAGAACAUUGCACCAAUCUCCAGGAAACUUCAUAUGCAAGAUUAGGG